rnacentral:rRNA from 1 species
AACGGACUUAUUGAGCUUCGGUUUAAUAAAUUAGUGGAGAACGGGUGAGUAACGCGUAUAUGAUCUACCUUCGGGUGGGGGAUAGUCCUUCGAAAGGGGGUUUAAUACCGCAUAUGGUGUAUUGGAUGAUGCUGAUACAUGAAAGCAGAGAUGCGCCUGGAGAUGAGUCUGCGUACCAUUAGGUAGGUGGUGGGGUAAGAGCCUACCACGGCAUAGAUGGUUAGCCGGUCUGAGAGGAUGGUCAGUCACAUUGGGACUGAAACACGGCCCAUACUCCUACGGGAGGAAGCAGCUAAUAAUCUUCCGGACUGCGCGAGAGCCUGACGGAGCGACGCCGCGUGCACGAAAAACGCCCUUUGGGUUGUAAAGUCCUUUUUAUACUGGAAAAUGUAUUCUUUUACGGAGGACUGAUGGUAAGUAUAGAAUAAGCGCCCGGCUAAUUACGUGCCAGCAGCCGCGGUAAAACGUACGGGGCGAGCGUUGUUCGGAAUUAUUGGGCAUAAAGGGCGCGUAGGCGGUCUUUCAAGUUAUGGGUGGAAAGUCUGGGCUCAACCUGGAUCGUGCCCAUAAAACUGUAGGACUAGAGUUUAGGAGAGGAUGCUGGAAUUCCUGGUGUAGGGGUGGAAUCUAUAGAUAUCAGGAGGAACACCUGUGGCGAAGGCGAGCAUCUGGCCAUAAACUGACGCUGAGGCGCGAAAGCGUGGGGAGCGAACCGGAUUAGAUACCCGGGUAGUCCACGCCGUAAACGCUGUCGGCUCGGUGUGUGGUCUCAUUACGGGACUGCGUGCCCCAGCUCACGCGGUAAGCCGACCGCCUGGGGACUACGGCCGCAAGGCUAAAACUCAAAGGAAUUGACGGGGGCCCGCACAAGCAGCGGAGCGUGUGGUUUAAUUCGACGCAACGCGAAGAACCUUACCCAGAUUUGACAUGCGACUGCAAGCGCACGGAAACGUGUGACCUGCGAGGGUGUCGCACAGGUGCUGCAUGGCUGUCGUCAGCUCGUGUCGUGAGAUGUUGGGUUAAGUCCCGCAACGAGCGCAACCCCCGCCGUCAGUUAUACGUGUCUGGCGGGACUGCCGGCUGUUUGGUCGGAGGAAGGCGGGGAUGACGUCAAGUCCGCAUGGCCCGUACGUCUGGGGCGACACACACGCUACAAUGGCCGGCACAGCACGCCGCAAACCCGCAAGGGGGAGCUAAUCGCCAACGCCGGUCCCAGUGCAGAUCGGGGGCUG